UUAAGGCAAGAUAUACAGAGGGUUAGGGAAGGAGGGAAGAGCAAUUUUAAACCAGGUUAGGGAAGACUUCAUUGACAAGGUAACAAGUGAGUGAAGAUGAGGAGGUAAGAAAGCAAGUCAUGAAAUUCUCUACAGAAAGAACAUUCCAGGCACAGAGAACAGCAAAUACAAAGGUCCUGAGGUGACCUGUGCCCAGCAUAUUCAAAUAGAACCAAAAGCCAAGAGAAGUAGGCCUUGAGAUCAGGGAGGCAACAAGUGGAGAACAGAUCAUGUGGGUCUUACAGGCUAUAUUGAUGGCUUGUCUUCUAUUCUGAGUGACCUGGGAAGCAGAUAGAGUUUAAGAGCAGACAGAGAAGUAAAAAUUUUCCAAGGUGAGGUCUUUGGCACACUCAAAACUUUCAUGAGUGUCCAGGAAUCCUGAGAUGAAGUUGUUUGAGAAGUGCUGAGCUUCCUCGGUCACAACAACCCCUGGGAGGUAGAUGCUAUCGUCACUGGUUAACAGGAUCACUUCCCAGAUGAGCUAACUCUUCCCAAGUCCUCGUCAUGGGAUCUGCAAAUACAGGUUGAGGAUCCCUGAUCCAAAAUCAGAAAUGCUCCAAAAUGUGGACCUCUUUGAGCACCAACAGGAGCCACAAAUUGAAAAUUCCUAUCUGCCAGCUGCCCCAAUGCACUGGGUCACAGGCAAAAUGCAGGUUCACUGAAAGCGUUGGAUAAAAUUACCUUGAGUUUACCUG